AUUGCUUUGAUCAUAUUGUAUCCUAUUUAGAUCUGGUAUCAUCAGUUGCUCAGGUUUAGUUGUCUCUUUCGUUUGGACUUAAGCUUCUCUUCCUCGAUUAUAUUAUUUUGUUAGUUUGGAGUUGAGCUCUUUGGUUAUGUCUAGUAUCUAUCUCAUUUAGUAUUAACUAUUAAGCGAUGUUUGGCUUAAUUACUUAUUCGUUGUGGCGUUGAAAGGUUUAAGUGGGUCUCGAUUAUCUUACGGU